UUACCACUUUGUGAUUCAUGACUGGGGUGAAGUCGUAACGAGGUAACCGUAGGGGAACCUGCGGUUGGAUCACCUCCUUACCUUAAAGAA
rnacentral:rRNA from 1 species